rnacentral:rRNA from 1 species
GGAUGCGAUCAUACCAGCACUAAAGCACCGGAUCCCAUCAGAACUCCAAAGUUAAGCGUGCUUGGAAGUCCUCGUGUUGCAUUCC